CCUACGGGGGGCUGCAGUGAGGAAUAUUGGUCAAUGGCCGGGAGGCUGAACCAGCCAAGUCGCGUGAGGGAAGACGGCCCUACGGGUUGUAAACCUCUUUUGUCAGGGAGCAAGGUGCAGGUCGGGACCUGCUGUGAGAGUACCUGAAGAAAAAGCAUCGGCAAACUCUGUGCCAGCAGCCGCGGUAAUACGGAGGAUGAGAGCGUUAUCCGGAUUUAUUGGGUUUAAAGGGUGCGCAGGCGGAGGCACAAGUUAGCGGAAAAAUCGGGGGGCUCAACCCCGCUCGGCCGGUGAAACUGUGUCCCUUGGGUGCGCGAAGGGUAGGCGGAAUGCGUGGUGUGGCGGUGAAAUG
rnacentral:rRNA from 1 species